UACGGAAGGUGCAAGCGUUAUCCGGUUUUAUUGGGUUUAAAGGGUGCGUAGGCGGCUUAUUAAGUCAGUUGUGAAAUCCUAGUGCUUAACGCUAGAACUGCGAUUGAUACUAUUAGGCUUGAGUUAAGAAGAGGUAAGCAGAAUUUAUGGUGUAGUAGUGAAAUGCUUAGAUAUCAUAAGGAAUACCAAUAGCGUAGGCAGCUUACUGGUCUUUAACUGACGCUGAGGCACGAAAGCGUGGGGAGCAAACAGG
rnacentral:rRNA from 1 species